GACGAACGCUGGCGGCGUGCUUAACACAUGCAAGUCGAACGGAAAGGCCUUUUCGGAGGUUCUCGAGUGGCGAACGGGUGAGUAACACGUGGGUGAUCUGCCCUGCACUCUGGGAUAAGCCUGGGAAACUGGGUCUAAUACCGGAUAGGACCGCACUUUAGUGUGUGUGGUGGAAAGUUUUUUCGGUGUAGGAUGAGCCCGCGGCCUAUCAGCUUGUUGGUGGGGUAAUGGCCUACCAAGGCGGCGACGGGUAGCCGGACUGAGAGGUUGGUCGGCCACAUGGGGGAAGGAGAGACGCCCAAGACCCAGAGGGGGGGAAGAGGGGGGGAAUAUGGAAAAAGGGGGGAAGGCUGGAGGCAGCGAGCCCGGGGGGGGGAGGAGGGCUUGGGGGUUGAAACCUCUUUCGGCAGGGGAAAAAGCGUUUUGUGAGGGUACGUGGAGAAGAAGCACGGGAAAAUUACGU
rnacentral:rRNA from 1 species